UACGUAGGGCGCAAGCGUUGUCCGGAAUUAUUGGGCGUAAAGAGCUCGUAGGUGGCUUGUCACGUCGGGUGUGAAAGCUUGGGGCUUAACUCCAGGUCUGCAUUCGAUACGGGCUGGCUAGAGAUAGGUAGGGGAGAACGGAAUUCCUGGUGUAGCGGUGAAAUGCGCAGAUAUCAGGAGGAACACCGGUGGCGAAGGCGGUUCUCUGGGCCUUACCUGACGCUGAGGAGCGAAAGCGUGGGGAGCGAACAGG
rnacentral:rRNA from 1 species